rnacentral:rRNA from 1 species
UGGGGAAUAUUGCACAAUGGGCGCAAGCCUGAUGCAGCAACGCCGCGUGGGGGACGACGGCCUUCGGGUUGUAAACCUCUUUUGGCAGGGAAGAAGCGAAAGUGACGGUACCUGCAGAAAAAGCACCGGCUAACUACGUGCCAGCAGCCGCGGUAAUACGUAGGGUGCAAGCGUUGUCCGGAAUUAUUGGGCGUAAAGAGCUCGUAGGCGGUGUGUCACGUCUGCUGUGAAAAUCCAAGGCUCAACCUUGGACUUGCAGUGGGUACGGGCACACUCGAGUGCGGUAGGGGAGAUUGGAAUUCCUGGUGUAGCGGUGGAAUGCGCAGAUAUCAGGAGGAACACCGAUGGCGAAGGCAGAUCUCUGGGCCGUAACUGACGCUGAGGAGCGAAAGCGUGGGGAGCGAACAGGAUUAGAUACCCCCAGUAGUC